AGUGGACGAGCCAGCGAAAGAACAGAGACAGUUUAACUCAGUGAUGGUUAAAAAUCCUCAUUCAGAGGUAGCCAGUACUUCAGGCACAGAUCUUGGCAAUAGCAAUUUCAACAAGAAGCAAAGUAGAAAGGCACAUGUUCAGGAGAAAGGGAAAGGU